rnacentral:rRNA from 1 species
AAACCGCAUGGUUUUGAUUUGAAAGGCGCUUUCGGGUGUCGCUGAUGGAUGGACCCGCGGUGCAUUAGCUAGUUGGUGAGGUAACGGCUCACCAAGGCCACGAUGCAUAGCCGACCUGAGAGGGUGAUCGGCCACAUUGGGACUGAGACACGGCCCAAACUCCUACGGGAGGCAGCAGUAGGGAAUCUUCGGCAAUGGACGAAAGUCUGACCGAGCAACGCCGCGUGAGUGAAGAAGGUUUUCGGAUCGUAAAACUCUGUUGUUAGAGAAGAACAAGGAUGAGAGUAACUGUUCAUCCCUUGACGGUAUCUAACCAGAAAGCCACGGCUAACUACGUGCCAGCAGCCGCGGUAAUACGUAGGUGGCAAGCGUUGUCCGGAUUUAUUGGGCGUAAAGCGAGCGCAGGCGGUUUCUUAAGUCUGAUGUGAAAGCCCCCGGCUCAACCGGGGAGGGUCAUUGGAAACUGGGAGACUUGAGUGCAGAAGAGGAGAGUGGAAUUCCAUGUGUAGCGGUGAAAUGCGUAGAUAUAUGGAGGAACACCAGUGGCGAAGGCGGCUCUCUGGUCUGUAACUGACGCUGAGGCUCGAAAGCGUGGGGAGCAAACAGGAUUAGAUACCCUGGUAGUCCACGCCGUAAACGAUGAGUGCUAAGUGUUGGAGGGUUUCCGCCCUUCAGUGCUGCAGCUAACGCAUUAAGCACUCCGCCUGGGGAGUACGACCGCAAGGUUGAAACUCAAAGGAAUUGACGGGGGCCCGCACAAGCGGUGGAGCAUGUGGUUUAAUUCGAAGCAACGCGAAGAACCUUACCAGGUCUUGACAUCCUUUGACCACUCUAGAGAUAGAGCUUCCCCUUCGGGGGCAAAGUGACAGGUGGUGCAUGGUUGUCGUCAGCUCGUGUCGUGAGAUGUUGGGUUAAGUCCCGCAACGAGCGCAACCCUUAUUGUUAGUUGCCAUCAUUCAGUUGGGCACUCUAGCAAGACUGCCGGUGACAAACCGGAGGAAGGUGGGGAUGACGUCAAAUCAUCAUGCCCCUUAUGACCUGGGCUACACACGUGCU